GGUUGUCGCAGACACAACUGGCAGACGGGUGAGUAACGCGUAGGAAUCUACCCCUAGGAGGACCAUAGCCGUCCGAAAGGAUGGGUAAUAGUCCAUAGUCAAUUUAUUGUAAAGGAGUUAACGCUCCGCCAAGGGAUGAGCCUGCGUCCUAUCAGCUUGUUGGUGAGGUAAAAGCUUACCAAGGCGAUGACGGGUAGCUGGACUGAGAGGUCGAUCAGCCACAACUGCACUGAGAUACGGGCAGUACAUCUACGGAUGGCAGCAACUAGGAAUAUUGGACAAUGGACGAAAGUCUGAUCCAGCGACGCCGCGUGAAGGAAGAAGGCCCUCGGGUUGUAAACUUCUUUUGAUAGUCCUUUCACGGACUAUAGAAUAAGCACCUACUAACUACGUGCCAGAAGUCUCGGUAAUACGUAGGGUGCAAGCGUUAUCCGGAUUCAUUGGGCGUAAAGUGUGCGUAGGCUCAUUAAAUAGUCGUACCUUAAAUACUAAGGCUUACCCUUGGGACUGGGUACGAUACUUUUAAUGUUGAGGAUUGUCAGGGGUACUGGAACAGUUAAUGUAGCAGUGAAAUGCGUUGAUAUUAACUGGAACACCGAUGGCGAAGGCAAGUACCUGGGAUUUUCCUGACGCUGAGGCACGAAAGCUAGGGUAGCGAAACAGAUUAGAUACCUGUGUAGUCCUAGCCGUAAACGAUGUCCGCUAGCUUUUUCCGACUUGUCGGAAGAGGUGUAAGCUAACGCGUUAAGCGGA
rnacentral:rRNA from 1 species